rnacentral:lncRNA from 1 species
AUUCUUUGCCCACAGGGUGGAGUUCAUUUCUUUUGUUCUUGGAAGUUGAAUAGCAGAAAGGGACUUUUCAGCUUUUCCUGAUAAAGAGUGGGUCCUGCCUUCCCUUCUGUCUGGAAAUAACCAACACUCUGUGCUACAGGUAACAGUUCCAGAAAUUUAUAGAGCUUCUGCUGAAGGAGGAAGGGUCAUUCCGUUUAUGUGUUAUGGAAGAAAAGAGAUAUAUAGAAAAAUGUGGAUAGUACAGAUUGUGCUGUGAUGAGCAGCUUGAUGUUUCUUCAGUUCUGUCCCCUCAGUGCUAUGUGAAUCCUCUCUUGAGACAGAUGUAGCCUUCUUCCACCUAGGAGGAAUUAUAACUGAGUGUCUUGUACCUAAGAAUAAUUUAUGAAGGGAACAUUGAAGGGCAGUAUCCCACAGAAGUCACAGGAACAGCAAAUGAAGGAUCCAUCUUGUUCAUUCUAACCUACUUCCUAUGGUUUAGCAUAAGAAUGGAGAAAAAAGCAUUCUAUAAUUAUAUUGAU